rnacentral:lncRNA from 1 species
UUAUCUUCUUUAUUAGUCUUGCUAGCAGUCUAUCAAUUUUGUUGAUCUUUUCAAAAAAUCAGCUCCUGGAUUCAUUAAUUUUUUGAAGGGUUUUUUGUGUCUCUAUUUCCUUCAGUUCUGCUCUGAUUUUAGUUAUUUCUUGCCUUCUGCUCUUUUCUGGCUACAGUGCAUUUUAUAGAGCAACCCAGUACAUGGACCAGUACAGAUACAUAGUCCCAUCACUCACCCUGUGCCAUGGUUCUGAUAUUUUCUUUUCCAUUCUAUUUUGUUUUACUGUUUCCUCUGGUUAAAAUAGGCUGAUUGUGACCAACUAACUUGGUCUCACAGCCCUUUAACA